rnacentral:rRNA from 1 species
GACGAACGCUGGCGGCGUGCUUAACACAUGCAAGUCGAACGGAAAGGCCCUGCUUUUGUGGGGUGCUCGAGUGGCGAACGGGUGAGUAACACGUGAGUAACCUGCCCUUGACUUUGGGAUAACUUCAGGAAACUGGGGCUAAUACCGGAUAGGAGCUCCUGCUGCAUGGUGGGGGUUGGAAAGUCUCGGCGGUUGGGGAUGGACUCGCGGCUUAUCAGCUUGUUGGUGGGGUAGUGGCUUACCAAGGCUUUGACGGGUAGCGGCCUGAGAGGGUGACCGGCCACAUUGGGACUGAGAUACGGCCCAGACUCCUACGGGAGGCAGCAGUGGGGAAUAUUGCACAAUGGGCGGAAGCCUGAUGCAGCAACGCCGCGUGCGGGAUGACGGCCUUCGGGUUGUAAACCGCUUUCGCCUGUGACGAAGCGUGAGUGACGGUAAUGGGUAAAGAAGCACCGGCUAACUACGUG